rnacentral:lncRNA from 1 species
GUCGGAGUCCCUGCAACCUGGGUUGGAGGGAUUGGUCUCAUCCUGCAGCCUGUAGACUGGAAGGGAGAACAAAUCAGGAGAGGAGGCCUCUCUCUGCAUGGAGAUGCUUCACGGGAGAGGAGGGAACCGUGACCCAUCAAGCAGCUUUGAGCCGUAGACAGCAGACAAAGAAGUGCUUUUAACACGUCAGCCUCUCAGACACUCACUAUUUAUCUCAGGAAAUGAAUCAGGGGGCCUGCAGGAUCCCUGGGGUGUUUGGUCCUCCAGACCCUUAAGCUGUGUGUUGUGGAAUGAGGGUCCAGGAGAAUGGAGUGUGAUUCCCAGCUCAUUCGUUGCUCUGGAAAAAUGGAGAUAAUAACCCCAAGGUCACAGUCCUGUUGAAAGGGUCCUGCUUCUCUGCUGGGAAGAUCUGAUAUG